AGAGUUUGAUCAUGGCUCAGAACGAACGCUGGCGGCGUGGAUAAGACAUGCAAGUCGAACGAGAUUUUCUUUGGUAGCAAUACCGAAGAAAGUCUAGUGGCGAACGGGUGCGUAACACGUGGGCAAUCUGCCUUAAAGUGGGGAAUAGCUCGGCGAAAGCCGAAUUAAUACCGCAUGUGAUCAGAGGGGACAUCCCUUCGAAAUCAAAGUCGGGGCAACCUGACGCUUUUUGAGGAGCCCGCGGCCUAUCAGCUAGUUGGUGAGGUAAUGGCUCACCAAGGCUCUGACGGGUAGCUGGUCUGAGAGGACGACCAGUCACACUGGAACUGAGACACGGUCCAGACACCUACGGGUGGCAGCAGUCGAGAAUUUUUCUCAAUGGGGGAAACCCUGAAGGAGCGACGCCGCGUGGAGGAUGAAGGUCUUCGGGUUGUAAACUCCUGUCAUUUGGGAACAAGUUGGACGCCGUAACUGCGCGUCCAUUGAUAGUACCAGAAGAGGAAGGGACGGCUAACUCUGUGCCAGCAGCCGCGGUAAUACAGAGGUCUCAAGCGUUGUUCGGAUUCAUUGGGCGUAAAGGGUGUGUAGGUGGCGCGCUAAGUCGGGUGUGAAAUUUCGGAGCUUAACUCCGAAACUGCAUUCGAUACUGGCGUGCUUGAGGACUGGAGAGGAGACUGGAAUUCAUGGUGUAGCAGUGAAAUGCGUAGAGAUCAUGAGGAAGACCAGUGGCGAAGGCGGGUCUCUGGACAGUUCCUGACACUGAGACACGAAGCCAGGGGAGCAAACGGGAUUAGAUACCCNNGUAGUCC
rnacentral:rRNA from 1 species